rnacentral:rRNA from 1 species
GAUGAACGCUAGCGGCAGGCCUAACACAUGCAAGUCGAGGGGCAUCGCGGUGCAGCAAUGCACUGGCGGCGACCGGCGUACGGGUGCGUAACGCGUAUGCAACCUGCCCCGCACCGGGGGAUAGCCCGCCGAAAGGCGGAUUAAUACCCCAUGGUCCCGGGGGCCCGCAUGGGCAUCCGGGUAAAGCCUUGGCGGUGCGGGAUGGGCAUGCGUGCCAUUAGCUGGCCGGUGGGGUAACGGCCCACCAGGGCAACGAUGGCUAGGGGGUCUGAGAGGAUGGUCCCCCACACUGGUACUGAGACACGGACCAGACUCCUACGGGAGGCAGCAGUGAGGAAUAUUGGUCAAUGGGCGGAAGCCUGAACCAGCCAUGCCGCGUGCGGGAUGAAGGCCCUACGGGUUGUAAACCGCUUUUCCCCGGGAAGAAUAAGCCCCCCGCGGGGGGUGAUGCCGGUACCGGGGGAAUAAGGAUCGGCUAACUCCGUG